rnacentral:ncRNA from 2 species
UAAACUUUUAUUUUGUUUGGAUGCUCGCGCGCAGUUAAACGGGAAGCAGAAGGCACGUCGUGUGAACCAUGUGGCGCCGAACUGCGCUGCUCCCGCAACGGUGAAUGAUCCGCCCCGCCAUCGUACGAAUGUGUACGCGUGCGGCAAACUGGUUCAAGGCCACUGCGCCUGCGUCGCGUGGGAAGGCGAACCGACCCAAUCGUCAGCCCGGAUACCGGCCAGACCAUGAGCGGGAUC